AACGAACGCUGGCGGCAGGCUUAACACAUGCAAGUCGAACGGUUGCAGCAAUGCAGCAGUGGCAGACGGGUGAGCAACACGUGGGAACCUUCCUAGGGGUACGGAACAACUCAGGGAAACUUGAGCUAAUACCGUAUAGGUCCGUGAGGAGAAAGAUUUAUCGCCCUUAGACGGGCCCGCGUCGGAUUAGCUAGUUGGUGGGGUAACGGCCUACCAAGGCGACGAUCCGUAGCUGAUCUUAGAGGAUGAUCAGACACACUGGGACUGGGACACGGCCCAGACUCCUACGGGAGGCAGCAGUGGGGAAUCUUGGACAAUGGGCGCAAGCCUGUUCCAGCCAUGCCGCGUGAGUGAAGAAGGUCUUCGGAUCGUAAAGCUCUUUUGCCAGGGACGAUAAUGACGGUACCUGGAGAAUAAGCCCCGGCAAACUUCGUGCCAGCCGCCGCCGUAA
rnacentral:rRNA from 1 species